rnacentral:rRNA from 1 species
UACGUAGGGUGCGAGCGUUAAUCGGAAUUACUGGGCGUAAAGCGUGCGCAGGCGGUUCGCUGUGUCCUGUGUGAAAGCCCCGGGCUUAACCUGGGAAUGGCAUGGGAAACUGGCGGGCUGGAGUGUGGCAGAGGGGGGUGGAAUUCCGCGUGUAGCAGUGAAAUGCGUAGAGAUGCGGAGGAACACCGAUGGCGAAGGCAGCCCCCUGGGCUAACACUGACGCUCAGGCACGAAAGCCAGGGGAGCGAACGGG